rnacentral:rRNA from 1 species
UACGUAGGUGGCAAGCGUUGUCCGGAUUUAUUGGGGUUAAAGGGUGCGUAGGCGGUCUUUUAAGUCAGUGCUGAAAUACUCCAGCUUAACUGGAGGGGUGGCAUUGAUACUGGAAGACUUGAGUGCAGUCGAGGUAGGCGGAAUUGACGGUGUAGCGGUGAAAUGCUUAGAUAUCGUCAAGAACACCGAUAGUGAAGACAGCUUACUAGGCUGCAACUGACGCUGAGGCACGAAAGUGUGGGGAUCAAACAGG